CAGCAGCCACGGGAAUACAGAGGGUGCGAGCGUUAAUCGGAUUUACUGGGCGUAAAGCGUGCGUAGGCGGUCUGACAAGUCAGAUGUGAAAUCCCCGGGCUUAACCUGGGAACUGCAUUUGAAACUGUCAGGCUGGAGUCUUGUAGAGGGGGGUGGAAUUCCAGGUGUAGCGGUGAAAUGCGUAGAGAUCUGGAGGAAUACCGGUGGCGAAGGCGGCCCCCUGGACAAAGACUGACGCUCAGGUGCGAAAGCGUGGGGAGCAAACAGGAUUAGAUACCCGUGUAGUCCCUGUCUCUUAUAC
rnacentral:rRNA from 1 species